GGGGGGCUGAGGGAGGCCAGGGUGGGGGGCAGAGAGGGGGGGGAAAAGGCCCGGCCCUUCCUGUGGGAAGCCCAGGCCUGAGGUGGAAGAGGCUUGCCAGCCCCGGAGGGGUGUGCUUAAAAUCGGGGCAAAAGGAGAGCAAACAAGCUGGGGCUGUUUUAGCCCUCUAUGUGGUUAUUUUGGUAGAGACCGUUGUGGGUUUUGCUGUGAAACGAAAGCUUAUAAUGCAUUAUGGUUACGUAUCAGAGCAGGAAUAUUAUGAUUAUAAGCAGUUCAUCCGGUGAUGGUGGUGUUAGAAAGAUCUUCAUUGUCAUGGUGACUCAUAUCGUUGAAAACCGGAGGUAACAUCUAAUCAUACUUUAUCAAGUUCUUUAGAAGAACUGUAUUCUGCCUGGUUUUGCCAUUUCAACUCCUGAAGCAGAGCAAGUGGCGUGAUGCACAGCAACACUCGGCUCUGAGGGGGCUGUGCUGCCGCUGCACAUUUCACUGGGAAAACCUGUUCGGUGCUUUCUGCCUGCUCCCAGAUAACAGAAGGGAGAAGAAAACAUUUCAUUUCUAGCCUGACCUUUGUGUUUAAUAUUAAGGAACUGAAUUUGGAAACUCUAGCUUAAAGUCAUGUCAAUACGUGGUCCUGAAUCAUUAUAAACCAAAUACAGCUUAUUCCUCUUAGGCUGGGAAAGACUCUUACCAUGAAGAGUGAUAGCGAAAUGCAAUAUGUGACGAAGAAAUCCCAUUCUAAAGAUUUGAUUGAAUAGUCUUUUGGAAAAGGGAAUUUUUGUAAAGCAUGAUUUAGAAGUGAAAAGUGUUCUUGUGAGAAAUCUUAUUGCAAUUAAAAACCUGAUUGGGACUG